GUUGUUUCCUCCAGUGAUCCACCUGCAACAAAUAUAAUCAAUCAGGGACAUUUAGCUCAAUUGAUGCAACUUCUACAACAAGUCAAAUUGAAAAAAGUGGGCCACCUCUAUCUGAUGCAAGUAUCAAUAAAACUGUGCUGGGCCCUUCCGUGAAGAGCCAUAUGGAAGUUGGUGAAGCUAAGAAUGGACUCUACAUUUUCCAGUCAAGGCCAGUUCAGUCCUAUUUCCAAUUUUCUAUUCCUAGCAAUUUCACUUCAGUUUCUAGUCUAAAUCAAGGCAUAAUGUUGUUCCUAGUUUAUCUUGUUCUUUUCCAACUGUAUUUGAGAUGCUAUGGCAUUGUAGAAUUGGUUAUUUUCCCUUUUAUAAUAUGAAAAACAUUAGUUUUCUUUC